rnacentral:tRNA from 1 species
GCUUUUAUAGGAUAAUUCAGCCCAUCCGUUGGCUUUAAUCGCCAAAGAUUCCUGGUUCAAACCCAGGUAAAAGCA